UAGCUCAGUGGUUAGAGCAACAGAUUGUUUAUAUAGCGGUAAUGCUAAUAUGUGGCAUGAGCGCCAUCCUUAUAAGAUGGAAAUAGUGGGUUCAACUCCCACUACCGCCA
rnacentral:tRNA from 1 species